CGCGUGACAUUAGCUAGUUGGUGGGGUAAUGGCUCACCAAGGCGACGAUCCGUAGCUGGUCUGAGAGGGUGAUCGGCCACACUGGAACUGAGACACGGUCCAGACUCCUACGGGAGGCAGCAGUGAGGAAUAUUGGACAAUGGAUGGAAAUCUGAUCCAGCCAUGCCGCGUGAAGGAAGAAUGUCCUAUGGAUUGUAAACUUCUUUUGUAUGGGCAAGAAAAAUCCCCACGUGUGGGGACCCGACGGUAGUGUAUGAAUAAGCAUCGGCUAACUCCGUGCCAGCAGCCGCGGUAAUACGGAGGAUGCGAGCGUUAUCCGGAUUUAUUGGGUUUAAAGGGUGCGUAGGCUGUUAUAUAAGUCAGUGGUGAAAUAUUCGGGCUCAACCGGGAUACUGCCAUUGAUACUGUAUAGCUGGAAUAUGGUUGCUGUGAGUGGAAUGUGUGGUGUAGCGGUGAAAUGCAUAGAGAUCACACAGAAUAUCGAUUGCGAAGGCAACUCACAAAGCCAUUAUUGACGCUGAUGCACGAAAGUGUGGGGAUCAAACAGGAUUAGAUACCCUGGUAGUCCACGCCGUAAACUAUGAUUACUAGUUGUUGGCGAUACAUUGCCAGUGACUGAGCGAAAGCAUUAAGUAAUCCACCUGGGGAGUACGUUCGCAAGAAUGAAACUCAAAGGAAUUGACGGGGGCCCGCACAAGCGGAGGAACAUGUGGUUUAAUUCGAUGAUACGCGAGGAACCUUACCUGGGCUUAAAUGUAGGCUGCAUUCGGCUGAAAGGCUGAUUCCCUUCGGGGCUGCUUACAAGGUGCUGCAUGGUUGUCGUCAGCUCGUGCCGUGAGGUGUCGGGUUAAGUCCCAUAACGAGCGCAACCCUUAUCAUUAGUUGCCAGCGGGUCAAGCCGGGGACUCUAAAGGAACUGCCUACGCAAGUAGUGAGGAAGGUGGGGAUGACGUCAAAUCAGCACGGCCCUUAUGUCCAGGGCGACACACGUGCUACAAUGGGGGGUACAGAGGGUCGCUACCUAGUGAUAGGAUGCUAAUCUCUAAAGUCGGUCCCAGUUCGGAUCGAAGUCUGCAACCCGACUCCGUGAAGCUGGAUUCGCUAGUAAUCGCGCAUCAGCCAUGGCGCGGUGAAUACGUUCCCGGGCCUUGUACACACCGCCCGUCAAGCCAUGGAAGUUGGGGGUGCCUAAAGUUCGUGACCGCAAGGAGCGACCUAGGGUAAAACCAAUGACUGGGGCUAAGUCGUAACAAGGUAACCC
rnacentral:rRNA from 1 species